rnacentral:rRNA from 1 species
GGAGUGAUUUGUCUGCUUAAUUGCGAUAACGAACGAGACCUUAACCUACUAAAUAGUGGUGCUAGCAUUUGCUGGUUAUCCACUUCUUAGAGGGACUAUCGGUUUCAAGCCGAUGGAAGUUUGAGGCAAUAACAGGUCUGUGAUGCCCUUAGACGUUCUGGGCCGCACGCGCGCUACACUGACGGAGCCAGCGAGUCUAACCUUGGCCGAGAGGUCUUGGUAAUCUUGUGAAACUCCGUCGUGCUGGGGAUAGAGCAUUGUAA